UACGAAGGGGGCUAGCGUUGCUCGGAAUCACUGGGCGUAAAGCGCACGUAGGCGGAUUGCUAAGUCAGGGGUGAAAUCCUGGAGCUCAACUCCAGAACUGCCUUUGAUACUGGCGAUCUUGAGUCCGGGGAGAGGUGAGUGGAACUGCGAGUGUAGAGGUGAAAUUCGUAGAUAUUCGCAAGAACACCAGUGGCGAAGGCGGCUCACUGGCCCGGUACUGACGCUGAGGUGCGAAAGCGUGGGGGAGCAAACAGG
rnacentral:rRNA from 1 species